UACAGAGGUCUCAAGCGUUGUUCGGAUUCAUUGGGCGUAAAGGGUGUGUAGGUGGCGCCGUAAGUCGGGUGUGAAAUUUCGGAGCUUAACUCCGAAACUGCAUUCGAUACUGCGGUGCUUGAGGACUGGAGAGGAGACUGGAAUUCAUGGUGUAGCAGUGAAAUGCGUAGAGAUCAUGAGGAAGACCAGUGGCGAAGGCGGGUCUCUGGACAGUUCCUGACACUGAGAAGCGAAAGCAUGGGGAGCGAACAGG
rnacentral:rRNA from 1 species